CCUGGCGGCUUUAGCGCGGUGGUCCCACCUGACCCCAUGCCGAACUCAGAAGUGAAACGCCGUAGCGCCGAUGGUAGUGUGGGGUCUCCCCAUGUGAGAGUAGGGAACUGCCAGGCAUC
rnacentral:rRNA from 1 species